UAUAUAUAUAUAUAUAUAUAUAUAUAUAUAUAUAUAUAUAUAUAUAUAUAUAUAUAUAUAUAUAUAUAUAUAUAUAUAUAUAUAUAUGUAUGUAUGUAUGUGUAUGUGUAUAUGUUUGUGUGUCUGUGUUUGUCUCCCCAACAUCGCUUGACAACCGAUGCUGAUGUGUUUACGUCCCAGUAACCUAGCGGUUCGGCAAAAGAGACCAAUAGAAUAAGUACUAGGCUUACAAAGAAUAAGUCCCGGGGUCGAUUUGCUCGACUGAAGGCGGUGCUCCAUCAUGGCCACAAUCAAAUGACUGAAACAAGCAAAAGAGUAAGAGAAUAUUGUUUUAGGUUAAGACUAUAUCAUGAAUGAUAUAGACUGAAUAUAUUUUUAAAAUGCAAUAAGCUAAGUUAGGACUGCGUAAUAAAUGAUACAAGCUGGAUGAAGAGAUACGAACAGUAGUAUGACUGUAGUAUAAAUGAUAUAGCAUGGAGUUGGUCUGUGCCAUAAUUCGAUUGGUUAAGAGGCAGAAAAGUGUGUUAUCCAAUUCUAAAAUGUCGUAAUUGGAUAACAUUAAUUAUAUUCUGUAGUUUGUGAAGAUAUGCAGAGAUCUGGUCAAUGGUGUUAUUGUUGCAAAGGAAAGAAGGCUUGGAUCAUUUUUGAUAAAAUGCUAAUAUGCAAGCUCGAAUACUUUAUUGUAAUAUUUGCGAGUCUGUAAUGGAAAGAAAUAAUAGAUUUGUGGAAAAUUUUAUUUUUAGCUUCAAAUAAUUAAAUAAAUAAAAGUCCUAAAUUCUUUUGGUAAAACUUUGCAUAUAAAGUGAAAAACAACAAAUUACCAAAGAAUUUACUUUUACUGAAAAUAGGUAACUUAAAGAUAGAUCAAUCAGGUUUAUAAGAAACUAUGAAAACAAUAGCGUGUUUAGUUUCUCUCUCUUUGAAAAAUUUGUAUUAUCAGUUCUGUAUGCGCUUAUAAUUAUCAGUGCUUAUAGAAGUUGUUAUGCGUACGUGUAUGUGUUUAUGUGCUUGACUGAAGAGGUGCCUCUAUGCACGCGUGCAUGUGUGUGUGUGUGUGUGUGUGAGCAUAGGUUUCAGAUGCCCGAAAAAUAGGGAGCUACACUGAAAGUACGGAUUUCUCCAGUUUCCAUUGUUGAGAAAGAAAAUAUCCGUAAAAGACAGAAUGGUUGAUAUAAAUAGAAAUGUAUAAACACAUAUAUUCCAUUCUGUCGAGGAAAAGUAAAUGGCACGGCUAAUUUAAGUGCUUUCAUCUGCUGAUAUUCUAGCAUCGAGAUUUUUGUUUCAAAUCUUAGCAACUGAACACGAAAAACAAGAACAAAAAAAAUAUCAAUUAGUUUGUGAAAAAAGUUCUCUUGCAAUUAUGUUAAAGACUUUCAGGGUUGUUAUUUUAUAUUGGUAGAUACGACAUUGAACUCCGGAAAUAUUUCUUUUGCAAGGUAGUAGCAGGAAUUUCGCUUUCCUAAUCAAUUUGGAACUGCGGUAUGGAAAACCACCCGCCUGCGUAUAACAUUGAACAUUUACAUCAAUAACACGAGGUUAACAGCUAGUAGAGGCACUGGAGGUUUUGCACAUGUAAUAUAUAAAAUUUAAACCAUAUAUUCAUCAUAUCUCAAAUUAAAGAACAAAUAACCUUACAACACUACAAAACUCAAAUAAUUUAAUGUAGCUAUUGCAUGCGCUAGUGGAGGCGCGUGGCUUAGUGGUUAGGGUGUCAGCACCAUAAUUGUAAGAUUGUGGUUUCGAUUCCUGGACCGUGCGACGUGUUGUGUUCUUGAGCAAAACACUUCGUUUCACGUUGGUCCAGUCCACUCAGCUGGCAAAAAUGAGUAAUGCUACGAUGGACUGGCGUCCCGUCCAGCUGGGAAACAUACACCAUAGAAACCGGGAAACCGGGCCCAUGAGCCUGGCUAGGCGUUAAAAGGGCGCAUUUAUUUUAUUUUAUUAUUGCAUGCGCUGCAGGCAAAAGGUAAGCUUCUGACAAGUCGAGACAGCAACCAGGUUUCGAUAUUCACUUAAUGCAAGUUUACUUCACCUAGUAUAAUAAUAUUCUAAAAACGGCAUAACAUCAUCUUAUUCCAACUCUACUGUUUCCAAAAAUGUCAGUAUUUUAAGGCCGACAGAAGCUAAAAUUGCCAUAUGACUUUAAACAAGGAAGAAAGUUUAGAUAGGAUAGUGUACCACUGCCUAAAAAUAUAUAUACUAAAUGAAACAUAUAUUUCAAAAUUAUAGAAAAGCAAAGAAUUAAGGACUUUAUAUAUAGUGACCAGGUGUAUCAAUGAAUGGGUACUGAUAACUACAGACCAUUUACAGAAAGCAGUGGACAUACAUCUGUGACAUUGAAACCCUUAUUGAGGAUAUUAACCCUUAUUGCAGGCGGCGAGCUGGCAGAAACGUUAGCACGCCGGGCGAAAUGCGUAGCCGUAAUUCGUCUGCCGUUACGUUCUGAGUUCAAAUUCCGUCGAGGUCGACUUUGCCUUUCAUUCUUUCGGGGUCGAUUAAAAUAAGUACCAGUUACGCACUGGGGUAGAUAUAAUCGACCUAAUCCGUUUGUUUGUCCUUGUUUGUCCCCUGUGUGUUUAGCCCCUUGUGGGUAGUAAAGAAGUAGGUAUUUCGUCUGUCGUUACGUUCUGAGUUCAAAUUCCGCCGAGGUCGACUCUGCCUUUCAUCCUUUCGGGGUCGAUAAAUGAAAUACCAGUUUCGCACUGGGGUCGAUGUAAUCGACUUAAUCCCUUUGUCUGUCCUUGUUUGUCCCCUCUAUGUUUAGCCACUUGUGGGCAAUAAAGAAAUAUAUAAAUAUAUAUAAAUAAAGAAAUAUAUAAAUAUAUAAGGAUAUAAACAAGAAAAUAUAUUGCUCCAUUUGAGAGUUUUAUUUCAAAAACAAAUUAGCGACACUCCAUUGCAUAAAUUCUGCAAUCUUCAUAGAAUAAGGGACAGAAAAGGUUAUACAUGUUUAGUUCACGAACAAAAGAAAGCCUAUCGAAUGUCGAAACAAAUUCUUUUGGCGAGGAAAUAUCUAGGGUGUGGGUGAGUGAACGCAAUCUAUCAAUCUCUUAUGUCGAGUAGGUUUUAAAGACAUUAUAAGAAAAUAUGUUACGGUAAGAAUAAGGUAUUAAACUGUUCAGUUUUUUUUUAAAUAUUUAUAAAAAGUGUAUUUAUUAUAUUAGUCAAUGGAAAAUGUGUUCCUCUUUUAUUCAGCUCGUAUAUACUACCCAUGAGAAUAAAUGUGAACAUAAACUCAAAUACAUACAUACGUAUGUCUGUGUGUUAUAGCCAUAUAUUUAGAUAUGUAUAUAUAUUAUACAUACAAAAGAGACAAAAGAGACCGAUAGAAUAAGUACUGGGCUUACUAAGAAUAAGUCACGGGGUCGAUUUGCUCGACUAAAGGCGGUGCUCCAGUAUGGCCGCAGUCAAAUGACUGAAACAAGUAAAAGAGUAAAAGAGUAUACAUACAUACAUGCAUACAUACAUACAUACAUACAUACAUACAUACAUGCAUACAUACAUACAUACAUACAUACAUACAUACAUACAUACAUACAUACAUACAUACAUACAUACAUACAUACAUACAUACAUACAUGCAUAUAUAUCUCGCCAUGCUGAACCGUAGAACUCUACAAAUUUUUUUCUUUCUCAGUUUUUUUUAAAAUUCUUUCUCCGUUUUUUUUUCUCUUAAUCCUUCCUGUCGAAACGCGUAGGUUCGAAACGUAAAAGAGUUUUCCAGAUAUAUAUAUAUAUAUAUAUAUAUAUAUAUAUAUAUAUAUAUAUAUAUAUAUAUAUAUAUAUAUAUAUAUAUAUAUAUAUGCAUAUGUGUGUGUAUGUAUGUAUGUAUGUAUCUAUAUAUAUAUUGAUCAAAAUAAAAACAUGAUGCCAAGGAUUCAGCGGUACAUAUGUUUCGGGCCUUUAUUAGACAGAUUUAUAAUAAUGCAUAAUGUAUGUCUGUGGCCUUCUUCAGCCGCGCACAACAGCUUCCACAAGGACAUGUGUUACAUCAAAAAUUCUUGGUUGGGGAUGCAAAUCCUCUCAUUCGCGUACGACAUAAUGCGGCAACAGCAUAGAAUUGAAGCGUCCAUCUCUUUCUUCUCACAAUGUAGAAUGAGGAAAUUUGGAUGUUGAAGUAAUGUAAAUAAAUAAAUACAUAUAUAGACGUGAAGAUGGAGGGGCGAGAAUUCAGGACGAGGGAUAAAAAAUGUAUGUAUAAAAAGUGUAAGUAUAGAAAAAUAUAAAAAUGUAGAGUAUAAAGAUAUAAAGGGAUAUAAGGAGAUGUAAAGGGGGUAUAAAGAAUAUAAAGAAAUAUAAAUGAAUGUAAAGGCAUAAGGUUAUAAAGUAAAGAUAGAAAUAGAAAUAAAAGUAAAAAUGUAAAAAAAUAAAAAUAGGAAUAAACAUGAUAAAAAUGUAAAAAAAUAUAAAAAAAUAUAAAGAUAAGGGAUGUAUAGAGGUUACGGACCAAACAUGGUGGUCAGGAGAUUGAUAAAGUUUAGUAGUAGAAGUUGUCUGGGGACCUAGUGUGUUGUAAAUCAGAGCUGUUGAGCGUUUAAUCUAGUUCUUUGAAUUAAUUGGUCAUCUUGUACAUACAUACCAUCAUGGAUACAUACACCCAUAUACACGCGCACAUAUACGCGCGCAUACACGGCUCCAAGCCUAUAAGCGUACACACGCACUCACGUGUAAACAUGUACAUAAACACACAUACACCCACACGCACGCGCGUACAUAUACAUACAUAUAACAGAAUAUCCGCAUGUAUACACGGACAUUAUACGUGUACACACCCAUAUAUACAUACGUGCGUCCAUCCUUACAUACACAUACACAUAUGCCCACGCUUCCAGGUUUAGAUAUAAGAUAUUAAAGGAUGUAUAUAAGAACGUAUGUAAAGAAUCACGCACUCACGUCCACACGUGCACGCACACACGGCUGUGUGUCCAUAUGUGCGUUCACAUAUAUACUUACAUACACGCACAGAGACAUACGCGCAUAUGGGUAUAGCUAUAAGAUAUUAAAAGAUGUAUACAAAUAGGUGUAAACAUAUGAGUAUAAGAAAACAUGUAAAAAAAUGUAAAGAAAUACGGGGUAUGCACAUCCAGACGUAGAUGUUUACUCGUACAUAUGUACACAUAUGUAUACGUAUACAUACGUACACGGACGCUCGUAUAAUCAUAAAGCGGAUCCAUAGGUAAGUAAAUAAGGGAUAAGCAAAAAAAAUAGACAUAUAUAGAGAUAUAAAGCGAUAAGUUAGGGGUAAGAAUGAGGGUAAGAGUAAAAAUUAGAAAUAAAAGUAAGAAAUACAAUAUAAAAUAAGAAAUACAAUGUAAAAGUUAGAAAUGAAAUAUAAAAAUUAUAAAAAUUAUAAGAAUUAAGAUAAGGGAUGAAGAUAAAAAUGAGAAUAAAGGUGAAGCGAAGUAGAAUAGCAUAAAGCAAAAUAAAAGUAAAAAUAAAAAUAAAAUAAAAUAAAAAUAUAAUCUGGUAAAGUUUAACAUGAGAUGAAGGUGGUUGAAAGUUAGAGGUGUGUGUUAAAGGUGCCCACGUAGGGGCGGGCGGCAUCAUGUUUUUAUUUUGAUCAAUUUACUCCACCACCUACACCACCAAACGGUAUACACAGGUGCUUAUAAUUAUCAAGUACUCACCCCGAAUUUCUAUCUAUAUAUACAUAUAGAUAGAUAGAUUGAUAGAUAGAUAGGUAGAUAGAUAGAUAGAUAGAUAGAUAGAUAGAUAGAUAGAUAGAUAGAUAGAUAGAUAGAUAGAUAGAUAGAUAGAUAGAUAGAUAGAUAGAUAGAUAGAUAGAUAGAUAGAUAGAUAGAUAGACAUGCAUACAUACAUAUACAGAGAUAAGGACAGAAAGUAAGAGAGAGGUCGAGGGACACUUAUUUGUGAUUAAAUGUUUGUAUGUAGGAAUUUAACUCACGAGUUAGAAUAGUAUCCGGUAUAGGUUAUACAUGAUGAAGACAGCAUCACAUCUAAUUUAAACAGUAACAUAUUUGAAGCAAUUUAUUCGUAUUUGACAUAUACGCUAUAAGUAUUUUUCUCAAUAAACAUCCUAUUGCAAUGGCUGCCAAAUUUUCUCAGAACGAAGCACACCAACUAAUAAUUAACCCUUAAAAGUUCGAAGAAGUCAUUUUAAUAUAGAGAAAAAAAUGAUCAAAUUAUCUUCUGUGAAUAAGCAAUGCACGUAAAAGGAACAGCAUACAUUUAAUGGUUGUUUGUAAACUAAUGAGACACCUGACUUUAAUGUGAUUUACUAAUUUCAUUUAGUCCCAGUGGAAUAUUUGAUAAAGCGAUAUGUAGUUCAAUUUCCACCGAUAAUACGCAGUGCUGCGGCUUCGUUUUGAUCUUAACUGAAUGAUGAGAACGUCAUCUCAAAGAAAUAUAUGGUAGAAAAGGGAAGUAAUGCUUUUAAGGCCUUUUUAUGCAAUCUCUGGAUAUUCCUUUUGUGUCGUUAUCCAGAAUGUGUGAAUAGAAUAUUCGGAAAAUUGUGAAUUUAAUGAGAUAUCAGUGGGUUGGUUUAGUUCUAUAGCAGUGAGAUUAGCUAUAUCGUGUGAAUCUAUUGGUAAUGGUACAACUUACCGUUGGAAAUGACUGAAGAGAAUUAUGAACGUGAGACUGCUGUAUUAAAGAUACUCACACAUUAUUCUUUUUUUUUUAUUCUUUUACUUCAGUUAUCUUUACUUUUUCCUUCAGUUAUUUAACUGCAGUCAUGUUGGAGCAUCGCCUUAAAGAGUUUUUAGUCGAAAAAUCGACCCCAGGACUUAUUCUUUGUAAGCCUAGUACUUAUUAUAUCGGUAUCUUUAGCCGAACCGCUAGAUUACGGGGACGCAAAGACGCCAACAUCAGUUGUUUGUCAAGUGAUGGGGGUGGGGACAAACACAGACACAAUGACAUAUCACACACACACACAUAUCAAUACGCUCAAUUCUGGGGUAGCUAACAUUUUUCACGUCAUAAAGUUAAACCUACCAAUCUUUCUACAAAGGCCCAAAAUAAAUAAACUCUCACUGAUAAGAAAAGAACCCUUACGAAGCAGUAAACGCCAGCCAAAAAUCUCAAAAGGACACCUCACAAGAGCAAAAUUCAUACCAGAGAAUGAAUCAGAAUUCUCUGUAAAAGAAUGUGGAGACACCAGAUGUAGAACAUGCAACAACAACUUGAAAUAUUUAUAAAGUGGUUCCCACAUAAAUUUCAAGAUACUCGUUCAAAGUAAAUGUAAAUAUGACCUGCAAGACGCAGAAUCUCAUAUACUGCACUACUUGCCCCAUUACUUGGAGACAAUAUGCAUGAACACCCCUCUAAAUGAAACAUACUAUGGAAAUUACAUAGUUAGCUCACACAGACGCUGUGCCCAGCUAAUACGACUCUGGAGAAAUAAUGCAAAUGAAUGCUCCAAUGAACGUUAUAGUGCUGUCUAACAAUAUUCACAUACCAUGUAAGGUGAUAUCAAUGCAUGCUAUAUGAUUUGGGUGUCUGUCAAGAAAGCUUCAUCGUGGUCAUUUUAUCACUUUAAUAUUAUAUUUUUAAUAGUAAUGAUGAUAGGUGAAGUUGUUUUUGAAUGUGGCUCCAAUGUUAAUACCGUGAUACUCAUCUCUAUAAAUGAUCAUAUAUAUACAUACACAAUUGAAAAAUAGGAUAAAAUCUUUAUAAGAAUUUAUCAAGUAGUUAGCGGCAAAAAACUCAUAAGGAAUGAAUCCAUCAAUGAUUCCUUUUAAAUAUAUUUAUUUAUAUUAAGGGCAUUACUAUACAUAAAUGCCCUUAAUAUAUAUAUAUAUAUAUAUAUAUAUAUAUAUAUAUAUAUAUAUAUAUAUAUAUAUAUAUAUAUAUAUAUAUAUAUAUAUAACAUUGGGAUUUUGACAACUUUUAUACCCGAGAACGAAUACUAGAACCAUUUUACCACUGAUUAGGAAAGGAAUCUAAUGUACCUACUUGGCAAAGUAAUUCGUGAAAAAGAUCUCUUUUGAAUUAUCUUUUAAAGCAAGAAAAAAAAAAAUCCUACAAAAUGAUGAAAGACUCUCAAAAAUAUAUUUAAACAGGCCCUGCUUUGUUAUGUAAUUUAUAUUCAACAGAGUGGCUUCCAGCUAAAUAUACAAUAUACAUGUUAUUACACAACUCAUUUAUAAUGUUUGAUUAAAUGCACAUAGGGAAUAAAUUGAAUUAUAAACAGUACCAAACACAAAUUAUCUUUUAUAUUCUGACUUUAUUUUCCUAAUUUAUGAUUGUUUUAUUAAUAUUUAAUGUGUGUUCUUGCAAAAACAUGGAAUUACACAGAAUAUGGGAUUUGACUAUACAAGUCUAAGGGAAUAUACAUUUUCAUAAGACUUUGAACUAUUUUCAUUUUCAGUGAUGACUGCAACCUCUCCUCUCUUUUCUUAUCCGUCCCAUCCUGCUUCCUAAAUUUGACAUCUUCAAUAGUCAUCUAGCCCUUGUGAAGAAAUGUGUUGUUUUUUUUACAAAUAUGUCGAUAGGUAUACAAUGAGAGGGGAAAGAGGCGGAAGUGAAAAACAAGAAAAAAGAAUUCUUUGUAAUGGAAUUUCAAUGGGUUGACCACAUCAAAUUGAAAAGGGACCUCUUUCUUUCUUUCUUUCUUUCUUUCUUUCUUUCUUUCUUUCUUUCUUUCUUUCUUUCAUUCAUUCUUUCUUUCUUUCUUUCUUUCUCUCUCUUUCUCUCUGUGUAUAUAUUAGUAUUUUGCUCUGUACUUAUCUCUCGUCUGUUUACAUAUUUUUCACUCGUUGGUGAUUUCCUGUACUUAAUGUGUAUUAUGUAUAUACAUAUAUAUAUAUAGUGUAAUAAAUAAAAUAUAUGCAUACAUACAAACAUAUAUGUACGUACCGACAUCUACAUGUAUAUAUACAUGCAUAUCUCUCUCUAUAUAAACGGCAGUUUGUCUGUGUGUGUUUCUGUGUGUCUGUUAGGUUGUACCCUCACCCUGACCACGGCUUUCAACCGAUUCUGAUGAAACUUGACACACACAUAGCCCAAUGUCAUAAUUCAAAACUAACGCAGCGAAAAUUUUGAAAAGUUCCCCCAGUUCUGAAAAAAAUCGAUAAAUUCGACAUGGGGUCGAGAAUCAGAAACACAAACCACAGACUGUCUAGGGGGACGCAACUCCACCUUUUUAACUCUCAAAAAUAAAUUUACCAUAAUUUUUUAAAAAUUUUUUUGCUAUUUUUUGGCUAUAACUCUCUAAAAAUGCUUUAUAGUUAUUUCCCUUACAAACCCGAGCAACGCCGGGCGAUACUGCUAGUAUAAAUAUAUAUACGUACAGGACACCACAAAAAGACGUAAAACUCAACAGAAACGAAAACGGAAAAGCCAUUUUGUUACAACAGAAAGGCAGAGACGUGGAACAGGACGAGAACGAAAACGGGAAAAACAUUAUUUACAACAGAAAAACAAGGUACAGGACAUGCUACACAAGGAAAAAUCCCCUUCAUCAGCUGUCACUAGUAGACUUAGCGUGUUUCGAAGGUAAGACAGGACACAACUCGUCAAUACUAGGCCUUCCUGCGAGAGAAUUAAAAUAAAAUAACCUCGCAGAGGGGUAAAACAAGCACGAAAAAAUGUAACACAAACGGGACGUAACAAUAGAACUGCAUAAUAAAAUACAAGAUAAAAAUACAAAAUUGAAAAUACAUGUACAAGAAAAUACAAAACGAGAAAUAAAAUACAAUACGAGAAAUCAAAAUAAACAAGAAAACAAACGAAAAAAACAACAACGAAAGGCCUUUGUUCUGGCUGGGACGGAAGAGGUACUGGCGAGCGCAGGGAAACAUGACCUUACGGCCUGAAAGCAACGUGCAAAAGGAUUAGCAGUGACGAAAGUGAGGAGGAGUGAGAUAUAUAUAUAUAUAUAUAUACAUACAUACAUAGACAGAGAGAGGGAAAGAGAAAGAGAGAGAGAGAGAGAGAUCCUUUCCCCGUCCUUUACUUUUCUUCCUCUUUCUUGAUUGUCCUGAAACCCCCCUCUCUUUCUCUAUUCUCCCCCUCUUUGAUUUUCUUUCUCUCUUCCUCCUUUUUCCAAAACAACAAAAAUAUUUUCUCCUCUUCUUAAACAAACCAAAAAUCACCCGAUUCAUAUAAAUGAACGAGACUAUAGUAGAAGAUACUUGCCCGGAGUCAUGUAGUUGGGAAGCAAGCUUCUUACCACACAAACACGCAUGCGCCUCCACUCAAAACACGUCUCACUAGCCCGUAGUAAUAUAUUCAAAUUUCAGCACAAGCCCAGCAAUUGUAAGGGGUGGAUAAGAUGGUUACAUCAACUCCGAGGCUCAACUAGUACUCAUCUUAUCAACCCUGAAAGGAUGAACAACAAAUUUUACUUCGGCGGAAUUUACAUUUGUCUGUAAUAAUACUCUUGUACGGUUAAUUGUCUCAGCUUUGCGAAAAACAUGGAGUCACGCCUGAAGUCAUUAACUGGCGCUGUUCUAAGAUUGAAGACGGAACAAUUAAAUUUUCUAAUAGUCUCUGCAUUGAUUCAUUAAUUUGGUUUAGUUGACCAAAUAUAUCAGUGACAUAUGCUUGUCUAGCAACCCAAUUAUUGUCUAUUAAAUUUAGGUUUUUAAUCUCUGAAAAACACUGACAAACCAUUUUUCAGUUCAAAAACGCAUUGCAGUAUUUUUGUGAUAUCAGUAAAUAAAUAGGAAAAUAAAUUAAUAAAAUAAAGAAUUAAAAUCUGCAUACAAAAAAACCUGCAUAUUAUAACUUUUACGCGAAUAAUUCGAUGCUAACCGCUAAGGAGAAAUAUCAAAAAAUAAAUUACAUACGCGUGAAACAAAGUUUAAAUAAUACAGUCAUACGUCUCUUAAAUUGUACAACAACCGUCUUUACAUUAUGUAAGCUCAAAUAAGCCAAUGUGGCCUUUGUAUUUAUUGGGUUGUCCGGAAAGUUCGUGCCGAUUUAUAGCAGCUUACAUUUCGAUUUAUUUUAGAACAUGGUUGAGUCCAUAAAAUAGGAUUUGACUACACCUCCUUUUAGAGCACAGUUUAAGCUAUCUUUUCGUGGAAGGAGAUUUAUGUUCCUAUAAACUGUGUUAAUUCUGUAACCCUUUAAAAUGGAAGAUAAUAAAGUUCAUUUUCGGCACUUGAUGCUUUGGGAGCCAGACAAAAAUUGCUGCAGCUCGGCUGGGAUGUGUUACCCCACCCUCCAUAUUCACCAGAUAUUGCUCCUUCGGAUUUCCACUUAUUCUCUUCAGAAUAGUCUUAAUGGUAAAAAUUUCAAUUCCUUGGAUAACAUAAAAAGAUACGUUGAUGAGUUCUUUGCCAUGAAACCACCUCAAUUCUGGGAAGAGGGCAUUUUCAAGGUAAAGUUCAUAUUUGGUUGAUUAAAAAUGUAAUGGCAAGCAUUUAUUGACCUUUUUCUUUCCUUUAAAAAUCGGCACGAACUUUCCGGACAACCCAAUAUAUACACUAGAUAAAAAGAAAUCUACUGCUGAGUUUAUAACCAGCUUUCGAUUUUGACCAAACGCAAAAUUAUUUCAUCUACACUACUCGUAUUUUAGAAAUGGGCAUUUAUCACUUUAUUUAUUUUUCAUUGUAUCGCUUUAUUUAUUUUUCAUUGUUUGUAAAAAUAUUGAUAAUUUAUAUUAUAAUGAAAGAACAAACAUAUUUCGGUAUGAAACUAAGAAGUGAGUAACAGCUCACCUAUCGCCUUAAAAAUUGUGAAGAGUCACGUUAAUAUGAGACUUGAUUAUGUUCAGAACACAUAUAACCAUAUAGGUACAGUAGUGCUAAUCUCACGGUAUAAAACACAAUUACCUAAAAAAAAAAAAAAAGGUAGCACCAUUUAUUUGUCUUACACGUGCAACAAAAUCUUUAACAGAGACUGUCACUUGCCUUUAUACCUUUAGUCAACAUUGCACCAUAAACCUACCUCAGAAGUUCCUAUUCCUAAAAGAACCUAUUGAUACAAUUGUUAGUUUCUAACACAAGAUAUUAACAGAACUGUGAAAUAUGUUUCCCUGCAUCUACAAAUUGGUUAAACGCCAUAAAUCGUGGGCCAGGCUACUGUCAUCUGUAUUUAUAUCUAAUUGUAAUGUGAGAGCCUUAAACACUUGAAUUUUUUUGAACAACUUAGGAUUCUAUAUCACAUGGAAUUUGUUGACCAUGUCGACAAUGGUCCCCUACACACAGUUAUUGUCCCCUAUUGUCCCCUACUGUCCCCUACACACAGUUAUUUCAUUUAUCGUCUUUGAUACAGUGACUCUGCAGGCAACUAUCUGUAAUAGUGUAUAUUCUUUUGUUAGAGCGUUAUUCUGGCCGUUAAAUUCAUCAUAAUCAUUAGUUAUAUAUAUUCAUGGAUCUCAGUUAUAUAUUCAUGAAUCAUAAUGAAAAACUGUUUUGAUUUUUUUGUUCACUUUUUCUGGUCUCCUGUAAUGAUAAAAUAUUGUGAUAGUCCUUCUGAGACACCGUUGCACACUUCAUAGGAUAGAUAGAUGGCGGGUUAAUGAGAAAGUAGCAAGGAAAAAAAAUCAAAAAAUUAUAACAAUAAACCAAGGUGAGUGACAUUUGAACAGCUCACCAACUGGUAGUAUUCGAUUUCAUACUUUUCUCUAAGAAAUAUAAACUUCCGUUUAGCAUUUGCUCUUCCCCUUGAGUAACAUCUUCAUGCGAUUACUUUUCUAGUUCAUUCACUUGCUAUCUCCUCUGCUUCUCACUGCAUAUUCAGCUGGUUACUUACAUCUAUACACACACAUCUAUAUAAGUGUGUGUGUGUGUGUGUGUAUAUAUAAUAUGUAUAUGUAUAUAUAUAUAUAUAUAUAUAUAUAUAUAUAUAUAUAUAUAUAUGGGUAUGAUUGGGUAUGAUUAGUGAAAUUUUUGGUAGUAAUGACUUAUGUCCCUCUUAGUGUGAGGCAUUUAUGUGUAAUAAUGCCCUCUAUAAAAUAUAAAUUAAUAUGUUCAAAAGAAAAAAAUUGUUUUCGAAUUUUUUCUCUUAUGAGGUUUUUCACGCUAACUACCUGAUAAUUUCUUGUUAAGAUUCUUUAUUAAGAAGUUAUCCUUAAUUGUUAAAUUUAUUCCGAAAAAACUUUUCCUAUCCGAAAUGCAGUUCGUAAAAGCCCGCCAUUUACCGAAUAUAUGAUUUAUAAACAUCUCCAUGUGCUUCGUUGGAGAGAGCAGUUGCCUGUUCGGCUUCGACAGUGUUGGUCGUUUAUUUAUGAUGUGUUCAGAAUCAGUUCUAUCGAUGAGCAUAGACGCAUUUUUUAUGUGGUGAGUGCGAAAUCACAGGUGAUAUAGGACUAAAUUCAUUUUUAAAAUGUCUUGCUUUGAAAAAUUGCAUUGGGUAUGAUUAGUGAAAUUUUUGGUAGUAAUGACUUAUGUCCCUCUUAGUGUGAGGCAUUUAUGUGUAAUAAUGCCCUCUAUAAUAUAUAUAUAUAUAUAUAUAUAUAUAUAUAUGUUAUAUUAAAUUAGAGAUAAAACCACUAUUAGGCAAAUCAAACAAUGAAAAACUUAAGCCAAUACAUAAAAUUAAUUAAUUUAUAUUAUUUUAAAUAUAUACCAAAAGUAUUAAAAGUAUACAUAUAUAUAUAUAUAUAUAUAUAUAUAUAUAUAUAUAUAUAUAUAUAUAUAUAUAUAUAUAUAUAAAGCAUGUCCUUUCUUAUUCGCUUUAAAACUCUUUUUAAUUAUCACUACGAUUUCAUAGAAACAAGUUGUAACACAAAUUCCUUAGAAGUAGCUUUACUGAAACUGCAAUUCUUUGCGAUAAUUCUUUUCUUGAAGUAUCAUGAUAUAAUCUGUCCGUAAUAUCUUCCUCGUUUUUCGUUCCAAAUAGCCCAAAGUUUGUUUAUUUUUUAAUAUAUAUGCCAGACAAUUGGGUUCAAGAGAGCAGAAUGAAGUACACCAUAUGCAAUAACACAUGCGUUGUCCUUGCAAUUUUCUUUGACAUUGCAACGAUGAGGCACAUUUCGGCCAUGUCUCGGAAUUAGAAACAAGCCUUACUCAUAUAAUCAAACGCUGAUAUUUUAGUGUAAGAGCUUGUAAAGAGUAUCUUGUAAAUAUAUAAACCGUUUCAGUUAUGUGCAAAAACGUAACAAACUCACUGCGUUUUCUUUGAAAUUAUAAUGGGAAAAAGAAACGACUGAGAGCCGAAAAUAUGAAAAUCUUGAGAAGGCAUAUGUUAAUUUCAUUAACGAUCCUUUUAGAGUAAUGAGUGAUAUGUAUUCAAAGAAACUGGUAUAUGGGAACCAAGCUUUGCGAAUCUAAUGCCUAGUGACUACAGUGAAACACCAGUAAAUUAUAUAACGUUUCGAAUGGCAGAAGAGUUACUGGAAGUUAUCAAAACGAGCCCAACUGUCUCAUAUCAAAAGACAAAGCUUGCUUAAUAACAGCGCUUAUCUAACGCCUUUUGUAAAUAUAUGAGACAGUGUAAAGGUGCGUGUCUUAGUUGUCAAGGUACUCGGUUCACUAUCGUUAAGUUCGUGAGUUCAAUACCCGGCGGUGCAUUGUGUCCUUGGGGGGUUCACUUUAUUUCACGCUGCUCCAGUUCACUCAGCUGGCAAAAAUGAGUUGUACCUGUAAUUCUAAAGGAGCCAACUUUGUCACAUUUAGUGUCACGCUGAAUCUCCUUGAAAACUACAUUAAAAGUACGCGUGUCUGUGGAGUGCUCAGCCACUUGCGCAUUAAUCUCACGAGCAAGCUAUUCCGUUGAUCGGAUCAACAGGAACCCUCGUCGUCAUAACCGACGAAGUGCCAGUUUAUAUGAGACAGUGAGGGGCUUCUAGAGGUAACUAACAAUUACAUAUUCUUGAAACCACACUCUAAUGUCUUAUGGAUGUUCUCCCCAAAUCACACUCCACUGCCUUAUUCAUAUAUUCAUGAAUUUAUAUCCGGUGGGUGUACGAUUGUACAUUUCUUUAUAUUACUUAUGUAUGCUCAUAACUGUAUGUGGUUGUAUUUAUGUAUCAAAAUUUGAGGCUUCUAUGAAGUACAACAACGUGUUAGAAAUAGUAGCCGUGUCACCCUCAAACGGCACUCUAUUGUCCUAUAUGCCAUAUGUGCAUGUAACAGCUAACGAGAGAGCCUCUCUUUGAUAUCUCAACUGAUAGGAAUACCAGCCAAAUCUCCUUAAUAUCAUAUUCUUUUGGCCAAUGUAUCUAUACUUGUGUAUUUAAGAGCCAACAACGGACACACCUGCAUUGUGGCUCCUCUUAAACAAAUUACACAUUCUUCAUUUCAUGUUAUUUGAUUGAUACAUACAUAUAUGCAUGCACACACACACACACACACACACACACACACACACACACACACACACACACACACACAUAUAUAUAUAUAGUUAUACAUAUACAUACAUAUAUGAAUUCAAGAUUCAAGCUAAUCAAGUCCUUAAAUAGCAAACUACGAAGGGUCGGAUCAGUGAAAUAGCUAUCGCGUAUAAACACUAUUUGAAGAACAAAUACGUGCUUACUGAAAGAAGCACGGAUUUAUACACUGGUAGUGUGUACAAUCGAAAAUGACCGACUGAAUAUUUAACGGCUCACAAACACAGUCCUAAUUGUACUGCAUUCAUAUGACUCCAGAUCCACGUGAAUUGUAGAUUCCAAAUAAGGUGAAUGAUUAACAAUUAACAACAUAUGGAUUGUGGUUCAUUACAGCUGUUUCACACGUGUUUUUAUUGGUGAUAAGAAUUAUUACAUCAUGCGAAAGAAGCCGUUUCCAUCUGGUAAAUAUAUGUAAGAAUUAAACAUUUGCCCUUUUUUUUUUUUUUGGUCGGUAGAGUCAAAAAUGGUAUUUCUGCUUUGGAUUUGAGAUGUGUAAAAUGUUUAAUUCUUACAUAUAUUCAUUCACCCGAUGAAAACGUAUUUUUCGCAUGAUGUAAUAAUUAUAUUCAUCAGUAAAAAAACACGUCUGAUACAGCAAUAGUGAAACACAAUCCACCUGAUCCUAUUUGUGUGUGUUUAUAAAUAUAUAUAUAUAUAUAUAUAUAUAAAAAUAUAUAUACAUACAUGCAUGAAUGCAUUUAUAUAUAUAUAUAUACAAACAUAUAUAUACAUAUAUAUAUAUACAAAUAUAUAUACAUACAUAUAUAUAAUAUAAUAUAUAUAUAUAUAUAUAUAUACAUACAUACAUAUAUAUAUGUGUGUGUGUGUGUGUGUGUGUGUGUGUGGGAAGCGCAAUAGCCCAGUGGUUAGGGUAGCGAACUCGCAGUCGGAGGAUCGUGGUUUCGAUUCCCAGACCGGGCGCUGUGUGUGUUUAUUGAGCGAAAACACCUAAAGGUUCCGGCAGGGGUGGGGUGGCGAUCCCUGUUGUACUCUUUCGCCACAACUUUCUCUGAAUCUCUCUUCCUGUUUCUUGAGUAACGCUGCAAUGGACUGGCAUCCCGUCCAGAUGGGAGGAACACAUACGCCACAGAAAUGGGAAACUGGGCCCAUGAUCCUGGCUAGGAUUGAAAAGGGCGACGCUUAUCGUUUAUAUAUGUGUGUAUAUAUAUAUAUAUAUAUAUAUAUAUAUAUAUAUAUAUAUAUAUAUAUAAAUGAGGAUAAAAUCUGUCUUAGACUUCAUCAGGUAGUUAGCAUGCAAUCAACCGGUAUUCUAUCCGUCUCAUUGCCGUCUCAUUGCCGAACCGCCAAGUCUCCUGGGCCUAAACACAGACUCAAAUGUGUGUGUGUAUGUAUGUCUUUAUGUACGUAUGUAUGUAUAUGUGUAUUAUGUGUAUGCAUGUGUACAUCUAUCUAUCUAUCUAUCUAUCUAUCUAUCUAUCUAUCUAUCUAUCUAUCUAUCUAUCUAACUAACUAUCUAACUGUCUGUCUGUCUCUCUCUCUCACUCUUUCUCUCUCUCUCUCUCUCUCUCUCUCUCUACAUAUAUAUAUAUAUAUAUAUAUAUAUAUAUAUAUAUAUAUAGAUGAAGGGUAAAGAUCCAGAAACCAUUGUCUGCUGAUCUUGCUGAGCUGCAGGUGGAGUGAUUCGCUCCCUUACUCACAACAUGUUGGUAUGAUUACUGGCACUGCAAACAAAUCGUGGGCCACUGUUUUAUUGAAUGCAGAGGGUUCUGUGGUUCAAAUUUUCUUUAUUCGGCUGUAAUAUUCUUUAGUGACAUGCGUUUUGUUACAGGCGCCACUGGAAAAUAUAUUUUUAUCCGCCGCUAGAUACCCGUAACCUUCCUCGUCAGUUACAGGGGAAACAGUCAAAACAUUGACGGAGAUGUUACUAGUCUGGUUUAUAGUCUUCCCCCUUUUCGCAACCAUAUAACAAUAUUUAUCCUGACCAAACUCCAACCCUACAUCCUUUGAGAAUGUUGUAACUAGGUCAAGGUUCUUUUUCAUCUCAUGCAUAUUCUUUGCAUAAAGUUUUAAGUCAUCUACAAAGAAAUAGUGUGUAAUUUUGGUAUUUCUGUUUCCUUGUGAACCAGCGAGAUUCCCUUCAGACUUCGUUAAAAUGAAUGACAAGGGAUUAUGUAUGUAUGCAUGCAUGUAUGUAUAUAUGUAUGUAUGUAUGUAUGCAUGUAUGUAUGAAGUACAAAUUAUUAAAGUAUUUUCUUUGCGACUGCCGUUUACCUAUCUAUCUGGGGCCUACGAAUUUUCAAUAUUCAUUUCACGGUUUAUCUAUCUAGGGCCUACGAAUUUUCAAUAUUUAUUUCACGGUGCACUAAAUAAUGUUUUCCACGUCGCAGUCAGCUUAAGGAAGAAGGCUAUAAGUUGUAUAGCAGUAUAUUACACUACUGAAGGAGAAUAAAUAAACAGAAACACCUCACACAAGGUAUUUCUAACUCCUAAGUUCGUGUCGAUUUUUAAAGGAAAGGAAAAGGUCAAUAAAUACUUGCCAUUACAUUUUUAAUCAACCAAAUGUGAACCACUUUGUUGCACAAUGCGUCUCCAUCUUUUCUUUAACUUGAAAAUACCCUCUUCCCAGAAUUGAGGUGGUUUCAUGGCAAAGAAUUCAUCAACGUAUCUUUUUACGUCAUCCAAGGAAUUGAAAUUUUUACCAUUAAGACUAUUCUGCAGAGACCUGAAUAAGUAGGAAUCCGAAGGAGCAAUAUCUGGUGAAUAUAGAGGGUGGGGUAACACAUUCCAGCCGAGCUGCAUUCAUUUUUGCCUGGUUCCCAAAGCAUCAAGUGCUGAAAAGGAACUUUCUUAUCUUCCAUUUUAAAGGGUUACAGAAUUAACACAAGUGACAGGAACAUAAACCUUCUUCCACGAUAGCUUAAACUGGGCUCUAAAUGUAGGUGUAAGUCGAAAGGUAAGCCACUAUAAAUCGGCACGGACUUUCCGAACAACCCAAUAUUGCAUAAAACGAGUUUCCUGCUUACACAUUGUUGUUUCAUAUAUUCUUUUGACGCAAUAGUUUACUACUACGUUUUCUCUGAAUUUUUACAAAAUAUAGUUUUUGUUACUUUUAACACCAUCAUAACGAAUUUGUUCAUGAAGGUAAGACGUUACCGCUUUAUAUUUAACAUUCAUUCAGCUGUAAUAUUUCAGAAAAUUAGCAAAUUUUGAAUAAAAUAUAAGAACGAAUUACAUUUAUGCAUCAGAUUUUUAAUUAUCAUUAUGUAGACAGUAUUUUUCUUGUUCAUUUUUUUGCUAAAUCAAAUAUUUCAUUACAACUUAGAGACGUUGGUACAAUUAUUAUCAUUAUUAUUAUUAUCUACAAAUUGUGAAUGAGAAUGUUUUCCGUUAAUGCAUUUUGAGUGCUCUACAUUUGAGCAUUAAUUUUUUUUUUUACAUCCCAAAAUCCACCAAAAUUACAUGUGACAAGUGCUGGAAUGGAUAGAUAUGAAUUUCUUUUCUUUCUUUUUUUUUUUGUUCUUUUUGCGCAUAACAAUAAAAAUAAUGUUCCUGUCGACGUACAACAGUCUAGUAGUAAGUGAAGCAAUCACAACAAUCAAUUCUGUGUUUCAGACGUUGGUCCAAUUCUAGUAGACAUACCUGUAUUCAACUAACAAAUGUUUCAUAAUUAUAUAUACAAAGAACUAAAAGUUCUGUUAAGGGUGUCUAGCUAAUCGUUACACCAUUAUUUACGGUAACCAGUGAAUAGGAGCAAGGGGAAUACUAAAUAUAAUAAUACAGGUCCUAGUUAGAAUAAUGCAUUUCGUUAUAUUAUUGUCAAAGAAUAUUGGCAUAGGGAUUUGCAGUAAUAUCCCUACUGGUGUAAGCAUACUCUUCACCCAAAUGUACAUUUGUGAUAAAUAAUAAGAUCAUACGUCGUUCCAAGUUCGAAGACACUGUGGUAAUAUCGCAGUGUAGAAUUUACUUGAAAUUUUCUAGGUUUGUACACACAUAUAUAGAGAUAGAUAUUGUGUGUGUAUUUCUCUCUCUCCCUUCCGCUGUAUCUCUCUCUCUCUCUCUCUCUCUGCCUGUCUCUCCUCUUCUCUCUCUCCAUCUAUAUACACACACACAUAUAUAUACAUAUACAUAUACUUAAAUGCACACAGACACACACACACACGCACGCACAUUUGUAUAUAUAUCGAUACAUAUGUAUAUCUCGAUAUCUAUAUAUGUAUAUAUAUAUGAACACAAGACUAUAUAGAUACACAUGUUCAUAUAUGUGUAUAUAUAAGUUUAUUUAUAUAAGUAAUAAUAUAAAUAUAAACAUUAAUAUAUAUAUAAACAUAUAUUAUAUAAAUGUCUGUAAAUAUACAUGUAUAUACACAUGUUCAGGCAGGUAUAUAUAUGUAUAUAUAUAUAUAUUUAUGCAUGUAUGCAUAUACGCAAGCGCGCACACACACACACACACACGCAUGAACAUGCACACCCAUACACACACAAAUACACGCACGCAUACACGCAUACACACACACACAUACACGCGCGCACACACGCAUAUAACAUCGUAAAAAAUAGGUAUAUUAAGAAUAAUGCUUGGAAAUGUACCGAGCGUUCGUGCGAAUACAUUGUGUAUGUGCAUGUGUUAAGUUUGCGUGUGCGAGUGUGUGCACUUAUGUGUGUAUGUGUGCGCAUGUGCGUGAUCUGUAUACUGUAUUAUAUAGAUGUAUAUUUCAAACAGAAAAAUCAUUUCGUUCUAUGAUAGUAAUAUGACAGCAAAAUGAAAUAGUUUUUCGGUUGUAUGAUAAUGGAAGAC
rnacentral:lncRNA from 1 species